GAUGAACGCUGGCGGCGUGCCUAAUACAUGCAAGUCGAGCGAACAGACGAGGAGCUUGCUCCUCUGACGUUAGCGGCGGACGGGUGAGUAACACGUGGAUAACCUACCUAUAAGACUGGGAUAACUUCGGGAAACCGGAGCUAAUACCGGAUAAUAUAUUGAACCGCAUGGUUCAUUAGUGAAAGACGGUUUUGCUGUCACUUAUAGAUGGAUCCGCGCCGCAUUAGCUAGUUGGUAAGGUAACGGCUUACCAAGGCAACGAUGCGUAGCCGACCUGAGAGGGUGGUCGGCCACACGGGAACUGAGACACGGUCCAGACUCCUACGGGAGGCAGCAGUAGGGAAUCUUCCGCAAUGGGCGAAAGCCUGACGGAGCAACGCCGCGUGAGUGAUGAAGGUCUUCGGAUCGUAAAACUCUGUUAUUAGGGAAGAACAAAUGUGUAAGUAACUAUGCACGUCUUGACGGUACCUAAUCAGAAAGCCACGGCUAACUACGUG
rnacentral:rRNA from 1 species